ACAUCUUAAACCACAAGUGGGAAGCAGAGAGAAUAUCCUCAAAAUGGAAUUUUGAACAUUUAUCUGAUGCCUUAGUAAUAAAUCCAUUUCCUCCAUGGAAAAGAUGGUCUUUACUCAUUUAUGCAUGGACAGUGAAGUUCUUCUCUUCUUGAUGCAAAAUAUUGUCAUCUUCGGAUAAUUUUCCAAAUAUAAGUGAACCAGGACACCAGCUGAGAGCCAGUGUCUUCUGUAACUUACAAGCAAGAUACAUCUGUGAAGCCUCAGCAAUAGAGAUGAGUAAGCAUAACCUUGCACAAUAACAGCACCAGUUGACCUGCCACUGUGGAAGGGAUGUAUCAGGGGAGGCUCUGAGAGCAGGAAGUUAGGUGUUCAUGUCAUGGAAGGGCAGGAUCUGAAACCCAGCAUGCUCAGUAAGAGGUUUGGCUCUCUUCCGAAGCACAAGUAAAGAAGUGAGGUCUCUGAGGAAAUACAAGAGGCAAGAGGCAGGUGACAGAUCUGCAAGAAAAUCCCUAGGAAAAAAAUAGAACUGACUUUGUAAUCACAACAGGUAAGC
ensembl:lincRNA 4930513D17Rik RIKEN cDNA 4930513D17 gene